AGAGAUGUGUGAUGACGCAUAUCAAUAAGCGGAGGAAAAGAAACUAACAAGGAUUCCCUUAGUAACGGCGAGUGAAGCGGGAAGAGCUCAAAUUUGAAAUCUUCAAGGUUCUACCUUGACGAAUUGUAGUUUAUAGAAGUGUUUUCUGUUAGUGGAGUGGCAAAAGUUCUUUGGAAUAGGACAUCAUAGAGGGUGAGAAUCCCGUAUUUGGUCAUUCCUCCUAGCGUUGUGAUACACUUUCAACGAGUCGGAUUGUUUGGGAAUGCAGUCCAAAAUGGGUGGUAAAUUUCAUCUAAAGCUAAAUAUUGGCGAGAGUCCGAUAGCGAACAAGUACCGUGAGGGAAAGAUGAAAAGAACUUUGAAAAGAGAGUUAAACAGUACGUGAAAUUGUCAAAAGGGAGGCGUUUGACACCAGUGUUGUUUUUCCGAAAAUCAAUUACGAAUGUUUUGUUUUUGAGAAGUUAUGACUUCAUCGGCUUGCUUCUCUCUUUACGAAACUUUCUUAAUGCACUUUUCGGUUAACAAGUCAACAUCAAUUUCUUUUGUUGUAAAAGAGGUCAUUGAGGAAGGUGGCUUUCUUUUCGGAGAAAGUGUUUAUAGCCUUUGUACCUCUGCAAUCGGAGAGAUUGAGGUCUGCAGCGUAGAUCCUUCGGGGUUAGAUACAUUUGUGCUAAGUUAUAGCUUUUCAUAGACAACUUGUUGACUAUGUUAAGUCUUGUAGCUUACUCGCUUAUGCUAUUUUACCUACGCUUAGGAUGUUGACGAUCAGCUGAGCGCG
rnacentral:rRNA from 1 species